GAGUUUGAUCCUGGCUCAGGAUGAACGCUAGCGGCAGGCCUAACACAUGCAAGUCGAACGGUAACAUAGAUUGCUUGCAAUCUGAUGACGAGUGGCGCACGGGUGCGUAACGCGUAUGCAAUCUACCUUUUACAGGAGAAUAGCCCAGAGAAAUUUGGAAUAAUGCUCCAUAAUAUCAUUUAUCAGCAUUGGUUUAUGAUUAAAGCUCCGGCGGUAAAAGAUGAGCAUGCGUUCUAUUAGCUAGUAGGUGAGGUAACGGCUCACCUAGGCUACGAUAGAUAGGGGCCCUGAGAGGGGGAUCCCCCACACUGGUACUGAGACACGGACCAGACUCCUACGGGAGGCAGCAGUGAGGAAUAUUGGACAAUGGAGGAAACUCUGAUCCAGCCAUGCCGCGUGCAGGAUGACUGCCCUAUGGGUUGUAAACUGCUUUUAUAUAGGAAGAAACACUCCCACGUGUGGGGGCUUGACGGUACUAUAUGAAUAAGGAUCGGCUAACUCCGUGCCAGCAGCCGCGGUAAUACGGAGGAUCCAAGCGUUAUCCGGAAUCAUUGGGUUUAAAGGGUCCGCAGGCGGCCUGUUAAGUCAGAGGUGAAAUCCUACAGCUCAACUGUAGAACUGCCUUUGAUACUGAUAGGCUUGAGUUAUUGUGAAGUGGUUAGGAUGUGUGGUGUAGCGGUGAAAUGCUUAGAUAUCACACAGAAUACCCAUUGCGAAGGCAGAUCACUAACAAUAUACUGACGCUCAUGGACGAAAGCGUGGGUAGCGAACGGGAUUAGAUACCCCGGUAGUCCACGCCGUAAACGAUGCACACUAGGUCGGGGAGGUUUGACGCCCUCCUGGCCGAAGCAAAAGUGUUUAGUGUGCCGCCUGGGGGAGUACGGUCGCAAGGCUAAAACUCAAAGGAAUUGACGGGGGCUCACACAAGCGGUGGAGCAUGUGGCUUAAUUNGAAGCAACGCGAAGAACCUUAUCCAGGGUUUGACAUCCCGGAUUAAACCGUCGAAAGACGGUCUACACCCUUUGGGUGGAACGGUGACAGGUGCUGCAUGGCUGUCGUCAGCUCGUGCUGUGAAGUGUCGGGUUAAGUCCCUUAACGAGCGCAACCCCUAUCGUUUGUUGCUAACAGGUAAUGCCGAGGACUCUAGCGAGACUGCCGGUGUCAAACCGGAGGAAGGUGGGGAUGACGUCAAGUCCUCAUGGCCUUUAUGCCCUGGGCUGCACACGUGCUACAAUGGUAGGUACAGAACGAUGCAAAACCGCGAGGUCGAGCAAAUCGCUAAAACCUGCCCCAGUUCGGAUUGGAGGCUGCAACUCGCCUCCAUGAAGUCGGAAUCGCUAGUAAUCGCGGAUCAGCUACGCCGCGGUGAAUACGUUCCUGAGCCUUGCACUCACCGCCCGUC
rnacentral:rRNA from 1 species